GAUUCCCCAAGCGCUUCCUUCGACCAAUGACGUCGCGGAUUCGGGUCACGGGGCGAGGAAGUCCCGCAGCUCCUGUCCAAUCAGCAGGCUGGUCGAUGUGUUUGAAUUGCAGGGGCGCUGGAAGAGGACUAGAAUAUUUUCGCUGGUUUUCUCGGAUCCCCCCCCCUGGGAUAGUUAUCUGCAUAGUUUAUAAACGAUAGCGUGGGGAUAAACACACACUGCAAGCCCGGUUUACUGUACUGCGAUAAUACUGUAUUGAUAUUUUAAUUAUUUUUAAUAUAUAUUCCGCUAAUAAUGUCGCAGAAGCAAAUUUACUACUCUGAAAAGUACGACGAUGACCAUUUUGAGUACAGGCAUGUGAUGCUGCCCAAAGACAUUGCCAAGCUGGUCCCCAAGACGCACCUGAUGAGCGAGACGGAGUGGCGCAAUAUUGGGGUGCAGCAGAGCCAGGGCUGGGUUCACUACAUGAUCCACAAGCCCGGUGAGUCUGGGGAGGGGGAGGGUGUCCUAAUCCCUCGUUUCCACUGCCUGUCCCAGGUAUAGCUGAGCUGGGAGAGGUGUGGCUGGCUGUGUCCGCACUGCCUGGCCCAGGUAUAGCUGAGCUGGGAGAGGUGUGGCUGGCUGUGUCCGCACUGCCUGGCCCAGGUAUAGCUGAGCUGGGAGAGGUGUGGCUGGCUGUGUCCGCACUGCCUGGCCCAGGUAUAGCUGAGCUGGGAGAGGUGUGGCUGGCUGUGUCCGCACUGCCUGACCCAGGUAUAGCUGAGCUGGGAGAGGUGUGGCUGGCUGUGUCCGCACUGCCUGGCCCAGGUAUAGCUGAGCUGGGAGAGGUGUGGCUGGCUGUGUCCGCACUGCCUGGCCCAGGUAUAGCUGAGCUGGGAGAGGUGUGGC